UUUUGGACAAUGGGCGCAAGCCUGAUCCAGCAAUGCCGCGUGCAGGAUGAAGGCCUUCGGGUUGUAAACUGCUUUUGUACGGAGCGAAAAGGUUUCCACUAAUACUGGGGGCUCAUGACGGUACCGUAAGAAUAAGCACCGGCUAACUACGUGCCAGCAGCCGCGGUAAUACGUAGGGUGCAAGCGUUAAUCGGAAUUACUGGGCGUAAAGCGUGCGCAGGCGGUUAUGUAAGACAGAUGUGAAAUCCCCGGGCUUAACCUGGGAACUGCAUUUGUGACUGCAUAGCUAGAGUACGGUAGAGGGGGAUGGAAUUCCGCGUGUAGCAGUGAAAUGCGUAGAUAUGCGGAGGAACACCGAUGGCGAAGGCAAUCCCCUGGACCUGUACUGACGCCCAUGCACGAAG
rnacentral:rRNA from 1 species